CCGGCGACCGGCGCACGGGUGAGUAACACGUAUGCAACCUGCCCUCUUCAGGGGGACAACCUUCCGAAAGGGAGGCUAAUCCCGCGUAUAUCGGUUUCGGGCAUCCGAGAUCGAGGAAAGAUUCAUCGGAAGAGGAUGGGCAUGCGGCGCAUUAGCUAGACGGCGGGGUAACGGCCCACCGUGGCGACGAUGCGUAGGGGUUCUGAGAGGAAGGUCCCCCACACUGGUACUGAGCACGGACCAGACUCCUACGGAAGGCAGCAG
rnacentral:rRNA from 1 species